GGAAAAUGAGCUAACAGAGAUCCCACUGAUGGCUACUAACCAACUCUGCAAGAGGCUGUGGGUUUCACCCUACACAAGAAACUACCAAAUUGACUUCCGGCGUGGGGCUUAAGCCAGGUGACCAUCAAAGUCACAUCCCACCUUGUGCCCUCUCUUCUCAUGGACCAGGAAAAUGUCAGAGGAAGCACCUCAGACUACACAGGGGACACGAGCUGCUGGCAUUUAAUCUCUACAGCAGCAUACACACUCUCAGGUUGUGCAUGCCGGCUCCCAGAUCACUUGGUUUUGUUUGCUUUUAAUUACUCACCUGCUAAGAUUGCCAGUUUGCUAGUUUUUGUUUCUCUUUAUGGGGAUUAAAAUGAAUUUUCCUGGUUUUGUAUGUGUUUUAAAAUAAUAACAAGAAGAAUGAUUUCAAGUCGUUAUGAGAAUAGAAUUACAUAAAGGCAAUUAAAAUGAGCU
rnacentral:lncRNA from 1 species